GCCUGAAUCAGUGUGUGUGUUAGUGGAAGCGUCUGGAAAGGCGCGCGAUACAGGGUGACAGCCCCGUACACAAAAAUGCACAUGCUGUGAGCUCGAUGAGUAGGGCGGGACACGUGGUAUCCUGUCUGAAUAUGGGGGGACCAUCCUCCAAGGCUAAAUACUCCUGACUGACCGAUAGUGAACCAGUACCGUGAGGGAAAGGCGAAAAGAACCCCGGCGAGGGGAGUGAAAAAGAACCUGAAACCGUGUACGUACAAGCAGUGGGAGCACGCUUAGGCGUGUGACUGCGUACCUUUUGUAUAAUGGGUCAGCGACUUAUAUUCUGUAGCAAGGUUAACCGAAUAGGGGAGCCGAAGGGAAACCGAGUCUUAACUGGGCGUUAAGUUGCAGGGUAUAGACCCGAAACCCGGUGAUCUAGCCAUGGGCAGGUUGAAGGUUGGGUAACACUAACUGGAGGACCGAACCGACUAAUGUUGAAAAAUUAGCGGAUGACUUGUGGCUGGGGGUGAAAGGCCAAUCAAACCGGGAGAUAGCUGGUUCUCCCCGAAAGCUAUUUAGGUAGCGCCUCGUGAAUUCAUCUCCGGGGGUAGAGCACUGUUUCGGCAAGGGGGUCAUCCCGACUUACCAACCCGAUGCAAACUGCGAAUACCGGAGAAUGUUAUCACGGGAGACACACGGCGGGUGCUAACGUCCGUCGUGAAGAGGGAAACAACCCAGACCGCCAGCUAAGGUCCCAAAGUCAUGGUUAAGUGGGAAACGAUGUGGGAAGGCCCAGACAGCCAGGAUGUUGGCUUAGAAGCAGCCAUCAUUUAAAGAAAGCGUAAUAGCUCACUGGUCGAGUCGGCCUGCGCGGAAGAUGUAACGGGGCUAAACCAUGCACCGAAGCUGCGGCAGCGACGCUUAUGCGUUGUUGGGUAGGGGAGCGUUCUGUAAGCCUGUGAAGGUGUGCUGUGAGGCAUGCUGGAGGUAUCAGAAGUGCGAAUGCUGACAUAAGUAACGAUAAAGCGGGUGAAAAGCCCGCUCGCCGGAAGACCAAGGGUUCCUGUCCAACGUUAAUCGGGGCAGGGUGAGUCGACCCCUAAGGCGAGGCCGAAAGGCGUAGUCGAUGGGAAACAGGUUAAUAUUCCUGUACUUGGUGUUACUGCGAAGGGGGGACGGAGAAGGCUAUGUUGGCCGGGCGACGGUUGUCCCGGUUUAAGCGUGUAGGCUGGUUUUCCAGGCAAAUCCGGAAAAUCAAGGCUGAGGCGUGAUGACGAGGCACUACGGUGCUGAAGCAACAAAUGCCCUGCUUCCAGGAAAAGCCUCUAAGCAUCAGGUAACAUCAAAUCGUACCCCAAACCGACACAGGUGGUCAGGUAGAGAAUACCAAGGCGCUUGAGAGAACUCGGGUGAAGGAACUAGGCAAAAUGGUGCCGUAACUUCGGGAGAAGGCACGCUGAUAUGUAGGUGAAGUCCCUCGCGGAUGGAGCUGAAAUCAGUCGAAGAUACCAGCUGGCUGCAACUGUUUAUUAAAAACACAGCACUGUGCAAACACGAAAGUGGACGUAUACGGUGUGACGCCUGCCCGGUGCCGGAAGGUUAAUUGAUGGGGUUAGCCGCAAGGCGAAGCUCUUGAUCGAAGCCCCGGUAAACGGCGGCCGUAACUAUAACGGUCCUAAGGUAGCGAAAUUCCUUGUCGGGUAAGUUCCGACCUGCACGAAUGGCGUAAUGAUGGCCAGGCUGUCUCCACCCGAGACUCAGUGAAAUUGAACUCGCUGUGAAGAUGCAGUGUACCCGCGGCAAGACGGAAAGACCCCGUGAACCUUUACUAUAGCUUGACACUGAACAUUGAGCCUUGAUGUGUAGGAUAGGUGGGAGGCUUUGAAGUGUGGACGCCAGUCUGCAUGGAGCCGACCUUGAAAUACCACCCUUUAAUGUUUGAUGUUCUAACGUUGACCCGUAAUCCGGGUUGCGGACAGUGUCUGGUGGGUAGUUUGACUGGGGCGGUCUCCUCCUAAAGAGUAACGGAGGAGCACGAAGGUUGGCUAAUCCUGGUCGGACAUCAGGAGGUUAGUGCAAUGGCAUAAGCCAGCUUGACUGCGAGCGUGACGGCGCGAGCAGGUGCGAAAGCAGGUCAUAGUGAUCCGGUGGUUCUGAAUGGAAGGGCCAUCGCUCAACGGAUAAAAGGUACUCCGGGGAUAACAGGCUGAUACCGCCCAAGAGUUCAUAUCGACGGCGGUGUUUGGCACCUCGAUGUCGGCUCAUCACAUCCUGGGGCUGAAGUAGGUCCCAAGGGUAUGGCUGUUCGCCAUUUAAAGUGGUACGCGAGCUGGGUUUAGAACGUCGUGAGACAGUUCGGUCCCUAUCUGCCGUGGGCGCUGGAGAACUGAGGGGGGCUGCUCCUAGUACGAGAGGACCGGAGUGGACGCAUCACUGGUGUUCGGGUUGUCAUGCCAAUGGCACUGCCCGGUAGCUAAAUGCGGAAGAGAUAAGUGCUGAAAGCAUCUAAGCACGAAACUUGCCCCGAGAUGAGUUCU
rnacentral:rRNA from 1 species